CCUACGGGGGGGCAGCAGUAAGGAAUAUUGGACAAUGGGCGCACGCCUGAUCCAGCCAUGCCGCGUGCAGGAUGACGGCCCUAUGGGUUGUAAACUGCUUUUAUACGGGAAAAAACCCCUCUACGUGUAGAGGGCUGAUGGUACCGUAAGAAUAAGGAUCGGCUAACUCCGUGCCAGCAGCCGCGGUAAUACGGAGGAUCCGAGCGUUAUCCGGAUUAAUUGGGCUUAAAGGGUGCUGUAACUCAGUUGUGAAAUCCUGCAGCUUAACUGUAGAACUGCCAUUGAUACUGCAAGUCUUGAGUACAUAUGAUGUGGGCGGAAUGUGUAGUGUAGCGGUGAAAUGCUUAGAUAUUACACAGAACACCAAUUGCGAAGGCAGCUCACAAAACUGUAACUGACGCUGAGGCACGAAAGCGUGGGGAGUGAACAGGAUUAGAUACCCGAGUAGUC
rnacentral:rRNA from 1 species